GAGUCCUGUUGCUAGGGCAGCCUUAUGUGAGAGCGAGCGGGCUUGGGGGCUACUUUUGUGGGCCUUGUCACUACGAUAGCCCAGGUCUGUGUGCCUUUCUUUCCUAAAAGUACCUUGUAGUCCCUCCGGAGACAUACAUACUUUUCUCCCAUUAGGAACUCCUGUCCAACUGCACCCCCUCUUCGUCCUCCCUUGUUUGGGACCAUUCUCAAAUCUCUGUAUAACGUCCUUCUCCUUUAGCUAAGGUUUCAAUUUAAUACACAGACCAGUUGCUGUUUUCCCUCCCGUCAGCUUCCCCCAUCCCAGUCCUCAUUUAUCCUGAAGGUCAGUGCAGACCAUGGUGAAGCUGGCUGCCAAGUGCAUCGUGGCAGGUGAUCCAGCAGUGGGAAAGAGUGCCUUGGUCCAGAUGUUCUGCAAUGAUGGGGCUCAUUUCCAGAAAAACUACACAUUGACAACAGGAGUGGAACUGCUGGUGAAGACAGUACCUGUCCCAGAAACCAGUGAUAGUGUGGAACUUUUCAUCUUUGACUCAGCAGGCAAGGAACUGUUUUCUGAGAUGCUAGAUAAAUUGUGGGAACAGCCCAAUACUAUGUGCAUUGUAUAUGAUGUCACCAAUGAGCAGUCUUUUAAUAACUGUGCCAAGUGGCUAGAGAAGCUGAGAGCCCAGACUUCUGGAAUACAAAUCCCAGGUGUGUUAGUGGGCAAUAAGACGGAUUUGAUUGAUAGGCGAGUUGUGGAGCACAAACAGGCGCAAGAGUGGGCAGAGACCAAUGGCCUAGACUACUGCGAGAUAUCAGUUAAAGAGAUGGAAAAUUAUGAAGCACCCUUUCACAUUGUGGCAAAUUCCUUCCACCAAUUAUACAAAGAGAAGGUGGAAAUCUUUCACUCGCUUGUACCUCGUAUUGUUUGUUAACCAGAGCCAAGACUGUGAAUUCUGUCAGCAUCAUAGCAGGACAAGCUGCAAAACUGAAAUUCUCAGGGGGACAGCAAUUGCCAGUGGGAACAGAAUUCAUGCCUGCUAUAGAGCAUGUCCUCCAUCUACAUCCUUUUGAGUGGUUAAUGACACUUGAGAUUGUAAAAGCUAUAGCACUGGGAUUUGAGUACAGCACGUGGAUGUUUAUAUAUGCGUGUGUCACUUUGCCUAUAUAAAUAAAAAUAUGUGCUUUCUUUGUGGUCAGAAAA